UUCCACACCUACUGGUCUGCAGCUGUUCUGGAAGCAGGAGCGGCAGGCCCCAGUGGGAAAGAAGGCCCCUCUCCAGGUGUUGCUGAGGCCGCUUCUGAUCUACUGGGCCCUUAAAGUGCCACUCAAUG
rnacentral:snoRNA from 1 species